CUCGAGUGGGCGAGAAGUAUGCGGAAUGCGUGGUGUAGCGGUGAAAUGCAUAGAUAUCACGCAGAACCCCGAUUGCGAAGGCAGCAUACCGGCGCCCGACUGACGCUGAGGCACGAAAGUGCGGGGAUCAAACAGGAUUAGAUACCCUGGUAGUCCGCACAGUAAACGAUGAAUGCUAGCUGUCCGGGGGGAUUGACCCCUGGGUGGCACAGCGAAAGCGUUAAGCAUUCCACCUGGGGAGUACGCCGGCAACGGUGAAACUCAAAGGAAUUGACGGGGGCCCGCACAAGCGGAGGAACAUGUGGUUUAAUUCGAUGAUACGCGAGGAACCUUACCCGGGCUCAAACGCCGAAGGGACAUUCCCCGAAAGGGGAUUGGCCAGCAAUGGUCUUCGGCGAGGUGCUGCAUGGUUGUCGUCAGCUCGUGCCGUGAGGUGUCGGCUUAAGUGCCAUAACGAGCGCAACCCCCACCGACAGUUGCUAACUGGUCAAGCAGAGGACUCUGUCGGGACUGCCGGCGCAAGCUGCGAGGAAGGCGGGGAUGACGUCAAAUCAGCACGGCCCUUACGUCCGGGGCGACACACGUGUUACAAUGGCAGGUACAGCGGGAUGCCAUGGGGCGACCCAGAGCGGAACCCGAAAACCUGUCUCAGUUCGGAUUGGAGUCUGCAACCCGACUCCAUGAAGCUGGAUUCGCUAGUAAUCGCGCAUCAGCCACGGCGCGGUGAAUACGUUCCCGGGCCUUGUACACACCGCCCGUCAAGCCAUGGGAGCCGGGGGUGCCUGAAGGCCGUGACCGCGAGGAGCGGCCUAGGGUAAAACUGGUGACUGGGGCUAAGUCGUAACAAGGUAGCCGUAA
rnacentral:rRNA from 1 species